AUCUGCCUGGACUGUUCGUCAGUAGUGAACGUCCUCGAGCCGAUAAUACCUUUAUAGGGAUUCCCAAACUGGGAGUGUUGUGCAUGUCCGUCUUGAGCGGAAAGCCUGAACGACCAACGGGUCUCCCCCCUGAACCUUUGGGUUCAUGGGCCAUUACCUACAACGGCAGUCUGGGUUUUUA
rnacentral:other from 1 species